rnacentral:rRNA from 1 species
CAAACGACUCUCGGCAACGGAUAUCUCGGCUCACGCAUCGAUGAAGAACGUAGCAAAAUGCGAUACUUGGUGUGAAUUGCAGAAUCCCGUGAACCAUCGAGUUUUUGAACGCAAGUUGCGCCCAAAGCCAUUUGGUUAAGGGCACGUCUGCAUGGGCGUCACGC